UGACUAUAUGAAAGGAUAUUUUUAUCAUUGUUAACAUAACCAGUGUUUUAUUUAGUAUUUUUACUGCUUAUAAUUGAUGCUAAUAUAGUUUUUUGUUACCUCAGAAAUCAUUUAUCGCUGCGGCCGGACAGCAAACUGCUCUUUGGCAGGUACAUUAAGAAAAUGGGCAAAACAUGAGUCCUAACAUUAGUGGAAUGGAAGGAGGAACCAUCGACCUAUGACAUUAUUGUUUCUAAAAAGAACCUACUGAAAACGAAAUUUGAACCUGGGGAUGUUGUGGAUGUUGCCUAUGAGGAUGAAAGUUCACCAGCCACAGUUCUAGACAUUAAAGAGAACAAAGAAACUCUCAGGAGGAGGAUAUUCAGAAGAGGGGAAUUUACAGACGUAGUACAGAAGAAGUUUCCAAACGUACCAAUAAAAUUUAUCAGAGCAGCAGUAAGGGGAAAAAGUAAAUGAUGAGCACAAGUUACAAGUAAGGAAAAUGGAGUAAACGCAGCCUGUUCAUUGGAUUCUGGUCUACUUUUUAUUUUUAUUUUUUUUAACAAUUUUAAUAAAUAAUUUGUGAAAAUACAUUGAUUCAUUGUG